UCAAUGCUUGGAGCAAAAUAAAGCUUUGCUUGAGCUUCCUUUUGUAUCAGUCUCGCUCCUUUAAUCACGGACCCAUUAUUGGGGGACCCAACAUUGGGGACUGAACAUUGGGCUCUCGCCAGGGAUUUAACAACAAGGACUGAGCCAGUAUCAGAAUUUCUGGGAAAGGCCUCCAGAGGUGACACUUUGAUCUGUUCUUCACUGUCGGGAAACAAAAAGAGCACCCCCCUGGACCUAACACCCCCACUUUCCAGAUCUUCCCACCAAGGUCUCAGGACACCAUUGGAAACUCUAGUAAUUUUACCAAGGCUUUGACUGGAAUGUCAUAUUUGAAAAGACUCAGAUAUGACCAGACAGCUUAAAGGAACUAAGAUUGGCUUUAUAAAACCUGGAGCCAUAAAGCCCUUUGGAACUGUUGGCCUGACACCUUGCUUACAGGGUUCCCAGCAGCCU